rnacentral:lncRNA from 1 species
UUAAUCCCAUCAUUAUGUCUCCAACUAUCAAUUAAAGAUAGAAAAAAUUCAUUUAGGUCCCUCCUCCAAAAAAUAGGAAAAUUGUACUUUAGUCUAUAUACUUUUCUACUUUAUUCAAUUUAGUUCCUAUUUCAAUUUUCCAACUUCACAUAUCAAUAUGUCUCCAUGCUACGUUCAUGAAAAAAGAUUUCUUAAAUUUUCGCUCAUUU